GACGAACGCUGGCGGCGUGCUUAACACAUGCAAGUCGAACGGUGAAGCGCCUUACUUUUUGGUGGGUGUGGAGGAGUGGCGAACUGGUGAAUAACACGUGAGUAACCUUCCCCCAUCUUCAGGAUAUCCGCAUGAAAGUGUGGCUACUACUGGAUAUUCUGGGUCUGUCGCAUGAUUGGUCUGGGAAAGAUAUUGUUUCGGUGGGGGAUGGGUUCGCGGCGUAUCAGCUUGUUGGUGGGGUGAUGGCCUACCAAGGCGGUGACGGGUAGCCGGCCUGAGAGGGAGGGCCGUCAAACUACGUAUGAGCCGUAGCGAAGACUCCGACGGGCAGCAGAAGUGAGACAUACUCCACAAUGGGCGUAAUGCUGAUGCAGCGCCGCGGAUGGAGGGAUAGCGGCCUGGGCGUUGAAAACCUAUAUAGGCAAUGAAGCAGGAUUGCAUUGUUUAUGGGCGGGUUGACGGUAGCUGGAUAAGAAGCGCCGGCUAACUACGUG
rnacentral:rRNA from 1 species